rnacentral:miRNA from 1 species
GAUAUAACCACUGCCAGACUGA